rnacentral:lncRNA from 1 species
GCGGGCACUACGAGUUGACUCAUAAAACCUACAAGUUGACUUUCUAUCACGUCCCAAACCCAGUAAUCGGAUUGAGCACGUGAUGGCUGCACACUCUUUAGGGCAAGGCUCUAAAGAGUAUGCAAGAUCUGUCUUCACAUUCAAAAAAAUAUUAUAUCAAAUCAUACUUAAGCAGUGGUAUUAAAAAUAGAUCUCUAUUUUUAUUGAUUAAAAUAAAAUAUAAUUCAUCAAUAUCUCAUCAUAAUCAG